rnacentral:rRNA from 1 species
CAGGAUGAACGCUGGCGGCGUGCUUAACACAUGCAAGUCGAACGGAGUUUUAACGGAAGUUUCGGAUGGAAGUUUAAGAACUUAGUGGCGGACGGGUGAGUAACGCGUGGGUAACCUGCCUCAUACAGGGGGAUAACAGUUAGAAAUGACUGCUAACACCGCAUAAUAUAGUGAAACCGCAUGAUUUUGCUAUCAAAUAUUUAUAGGUAUGAGAUGGGCCCGCGUCUGAUUAGCUAGUUGGUGGGGUAAAGCCUACCAAGGCGACGAUCAGUAGCCGGCUUGAGAGAGUGACCGGCCACAUUGGGACUGAGACACGGCCCAAACUCCUACGGGAGGCAGCAGUGGGGAAUAUUGGACAAUGGGGGAAACCCUGAUCCAGCGAACCGCCGCGUGAGUGAAGAAGUAUUUCGGUAUGUAAAGCUCUAUCAGCAGGGAAGAUAAUGACAGUACCUGACUAAGAAGCCCCGGCUAACUACGUGCCAGCCGCAGC